UACGUAGGUGGCAAGCGUUGUCCGGAUUUAUUGGGUUUAAAGGGUGCGUAGGCGGCUUUGUAAGUCAGUGGUGAAAUAUGGCAGCUCAACUGUCAAGGUGCCAUUGAUACUGCAGAGCUUGAGUACAGAUGAGGUAGGCGGAAUUGACGGUGUAGCGGUGAAAUGCUUAGAUAUCGGGAGGAACACCAGUGGCGAAGGCGGCUUUCUGGCCCGUUCUUGACGCUGAGGCGCGAAAGCUAGGGUAGCAAACGGG
rnacentral:rRNA from 1 species